UCUUUUCUAAGGCUGGAGUUGCUAACUAUAAGGUUCAGAAGUUGAAACAAUUUCGUUUAAGUCAAAACAUUCAACGUCCUACGAGGAAUAUUACAAAACCAAAGAGGUAUGUGACAACUUCAAGUCAGGACGAAGCACCGUCGUUAAAAAAGAAAAAAAA